CAGUCGCCGCGGUAAUACGUAGGGGGCAAGCGUUGUCCGGAAUUAUUGGGCGUAAAGCACGCGCAGGCGGUUCUUUAAGUCUGGUGUAUAAGUGCGGGGCUCAACCCCGUGAGGCACUGGAAACUGGGGAACUUGAGUGCAGAAGAGGAGAGCGGAAUUCCACGUGCAGCGGUGAAAUGCGUAGAGAUGUGAAGGAACACCAACGGCGAAAGCACUCUGCUGGGCCGACGUUGACACUGAGAGACGAACGCUAGGGGAGAAAAUGGGAUUAGAGACCCCUGUAGUCCCUGUCUCUUAUACA
rnacentral:rRNA from 1 species